UACGUAGGGUGCGAGCGUUGUCCGGAAUUACUGGGCGUAAAGAGCUCGUAGGCGGUUUGUCGCGUUGUUCGUGAAAACUCACAGCUCAACUGUGGGCGUGCGGGCGAUACGGGCAGACUGGAGUACUGCAGGGGAGACUGGAAUUCCUGGUGUAGCGGUGGAAUGCGCAGAUAUCAGGAGGAACACCGAUGGCGAAGGCGGGUCUCUGGGCAGUAACUGACGCUGAGGAGCGAAAGCAUGGGGAGCGAACAGG
rnacentral:rRNA from 1 species